AUUCUGCCCAAGCGGGGAAGGAUGAGAAGCUUCGACCAAGGUUCGACUCGAGCGCCAGCGAGAGAGCGUGGCCGCAGGCAACGACCCGAAGGGCGAAGCGCACAGCGCUGAGUAAUCCUUCCCCCACCACCA
rnacentral:sRNA from 1 species